rnacentral:lncRNA from 1 species
UGGUGGUUAUGUUGCAGAAACUGCGUGUUCUUGACACCAUUCGGAACACUUUCUUGAAAAGGGUAUGUCUGAUUUUGAGAUUUCGAUAAAAAUUGAAGGGGCUUUGGUUGUUCUUGAAUUGGGAUAUGGUCAAGAAGUAUGUUUUGGGGGAUCAAGAUUUGAUUUUUAUUAAACUUUCUCACUCUGGGGUGGCUUAAAGUUAAACCUCCAUCAAGAAGAGAUACAACUUUCUUGAAUCUAACUACAGCUUCAUCUGUUUGUACCUUUAGCUUUCUUGAUUGUACAUGAUCAGAGGGUUGAGCUAAUAAGUUAAGAAUUCUAUGGCAACUUUCAACAGCAGAUUUAUUAGCUGCUUCA